rnacentral:sRNA from 1 species
CUUGUGCUUUUGGUUAGGUGCUUUUGGUCAGAUCGUUUCAUUUUGAACUAUCCCCAUUACUACCGGCUCAAGCUACAAAUUAAACAAUGCCGUCUAUUACUAUAUAGAUUAGGUUUACAGGAGGAUGUUCAUAAUGGAACAAGGUACAGUUAAAUGGUUUAACGCUGAUAAAGGUUUUGGUUUUAUUACUCGCGAAGAUGGUAGUGACGUAUUCGUUCACUUCUCAGCUAUCCAAGGUGACGGAUUCAAGACUCUUGAAGAAGGCCAAGCAGUUUCUUUCGACGUUGAAGAAAGCGACCGUGGACCACAAGCAGUUAACGUAAACAAAAACUAAUUUAAAUUAAAAUAGUUAUGAGAGUAGGGAGCUUCGGCAACCUACUCUUUU